UUAAAGGAUGCAAAACUUCUUAAUUGUUCACCUCUUGAGAUCAUAUGUAGAUGAUCCAAGUGAUUCCUUUGGAAAAGGCAACAAGCAAGUAACAGAUAAACAAUAUAUCAGGCAAAGCCAACAUAAAUGGAAACCAGAUGCCAAUCAAUGGACUUACACCAAUCUCACAAAACAAAAAUGGAUAUCGGAUGCCAAUCAAUGGACUUACACCAAUCUCACAAAACAAAACAUGGAUACCAGAUGCCAAUCAAUGGACUUACACUAG
rnacentral:lncRNA from 1 species